AGCAGCCGCGGUAAUUCCAGCUCCAAUAGCGUAUAUUAAAGUUGUUGCAGUUAAAAAGCUCGUAGUUGAAUUUCGGGGUCAGUAGGUUGGUCGUGCCACGGGUAUGAACUGGUCUCACUGAUUCCUCCUUCCUGAUGAACCGUAAUGCCAUUAAUUUGGUGUUGCGGGGAAUUUGGACUGUUACUUUGAAAAAAUUAGAGUGUUUAAAGCAAGCUAACGCUUGAAUACAUUAGCAUGGAAUAAUGAAAUAGGACGUUCGAUCCUAUUUUGUUGGUUUCUAGGAUUGACGUAAUGAUUAAUAGGGAUAGUUGGGGGCAUUAGUAUUCAAUUGUCAGAGGUGAAAUUCUUGGAUUUAUUGAAGACUAACUACUGCGAAAAGCAAUUUGCCAAGGAUGU
rnacentral:rRNA from 1 species